rnacentral:misc_RNA from 1 species
GAUGAAGAACGCAGCGAAAUGUGAUAAGUAGUGUGAAUUGCAGAAUUCAGUGAAUCAUCGAAUCUUUGAACGCACAUUGCGCCCCUUGGUAUUCCAUGGGGCAUGCCUGUUCGAGCGUCAUUUGUACCUUCAAGCUCUGCUUGGUGUUGGGUGUUUGUCUCGCCUCUGCGUGUAGACUCGCCUUAAAACAAUUGGCAGCCGGCGUAUUGAUUUCGGAGCGCAGUACAUCUCGCGCUUUGCACUCAUAACGACGACGUCCAAAAGUACAUUUUUACACUCUUGACCUCGGAUCAGGUAGGGAUACCCGCUGAACUUAAGCAUAUCAAUAAGCGGAGGA